AGGAGGAUGGGGCCUGCACUGUUCUUUGCGGCUGUUCGCCGACGGAGUGGUGAUGUUGCUGUGGUCGUCUCUCUUCAACCUUCCUCUCAUCGUCGUCACCUGCUGCGCUUCUUGGAGGAGCCGAUCAUUAAAACCGGGUGGUGAUUUUCAGACGGGCACGAAUUGGCUUCUCUCCCUCUCACGCUCGGCUUCUCUCAAAGACCGACGGGCGAUGAGUUCUCUCAUUCUCUCCCUCUCGGCCUCUCUCUGUGAGACCGACGCUGUGCUGCAGAGUGCUCCCUCUCUACGACGCUUGGAGUUGGGGAACUCACUGCUCCGGUGCUCCACUGCUUCCUUUCUCUGCGACGCUUGGGAAGCUCUCUGCUCCCUCUCUCUGUGCUGCUCCCUCACCCAAAACUCGCUGCUCAGUGCUCCCUCUCUGUGCGCUGCUCCCUCUCUCUGCGACGCCGCUCCUUCUCUCUGCGCUACGUUCAGAUUUGGAUGAAUUUGAUUUUGAUGGAGAACGCAACUUAUAUGUUGCUAACAUGGAUUUUUCUGAUCCUUCAUUCUGAGGCAUUUGAUGAUGAUGCAAGAUAUUGGUGGAAGUGGAAGUGGAAGUGGAACGUGACUCUGGUUUAUGAAUGAUGAUGUAAUAUCUAAUAUGUAUUGAUGUAUGAAUUAUGAUGGCGUUUGAUGAUGAAGAAUAUGUAUUGAUGACUGUAAGAACUGUGUUUUUUGUGAACUCAAAACUAGAGUACAUUUGUUUUGUUGAAUGUUGAUAAAAAUGUUAUUUAUUGCUUGUUGAA